CCCCUAGAUGUUCUGGGCCGCACGCGCGCUACACUGACGAAUGCAACGAGCUUAUAACCUUGGCCGAAAGGUCUGGGUAAUCUCCAAAUUUCGUCGUGAUGGGGAUAGAUUAUUGCAAUUAUUAAUCUUCAACGAGGAAUGCCUAGUAAGCGCAAGUCAUCAGCUUGCGUUGAUUACGUCCCUGCCCUUUGUACACACCGCCCGUCGCUCCUACCGAUUGAAUGGUCCGGUGAAGCGUUCGGACCGUGGCCUUUGGACGGUUCGCCGUCUGUUGGCUGCGGGAAGUUCGUUAAACCUCAUCAUUUAGAGGAAGGAGAANUCGUAACA
rnacentral:rRNA from 1 species